rnacentral:lncRNA from 1 species
UAAGCUAUGAACGAACAAAAAAAAACACAAAAAAAUAGCGCACGCCGAUAGUUUGAGUAAAUGCUCUCAAAAUUAUUCUAUUACUUUGAAGGUUUACAGCAAAUGAGAGAGAAUACCUCUAUGUAUAGUUGAGCUCCCCCAAAUCUUAUGAUACGAUUGAGUUGCAUCGACGGGAAAGAUUUAUACUUAUCUACAAGAUAAGAGUCCUAAGGGUUUUAAACUCUAUACAUCUUUAUACCUAAGAUUAACAAUAAUUAUCCUGGUAACUCGAGUUUUACUAGAGUGUUUUAUUGGGUCACCAAUAUUUCAAGUAGAUGAGCUUCUCCUUACGUUUCAUGAGUCAGGCCAGUUCAAAUGGGUCUAAUAAUUUUCAUUUAAUAAGCUUACCUCCAUGGGAAGUUUUUUGGGAAAUGGUCAUAAGCUUUGAUCUAUGGCCCAUGACACAAGUAUGCACUUACUAUUCAAUGCCUUAUGCUUUCCAAACAACCAUAAGUCGCUCUCUCUCCUCUAAAUUCUAAGAUUAGAUUAAUAUUCUAUGUUGUUCAAACUCUUCAUUUUUCAAGAAGUACCUGUGUCAGACACGACACAUAGAUAUGAAAAAAUGACCUCUAAAGAUUCUUCAUGUAACAUCUCUUAUUCGGUCCGAUUGUCGGACCUGAGCCACAAAGUGCUACAGUUAAAGUCAGAACAAAAAACAUUCAAUUCACACCAAUUCUUUCAAAUAAACAUGGAAUAUCUUCAUAACAUUCAAAUUAUACAUGAAUCAUACAAUCAUAAUCAAUUCAAUGCAUAAUCACCUAAUAUAAACUUUACUUAGGCUUAUACGAGCUUACGAAUUUCAAAAUUAAAGAUCAAUUAUAUCAUAAAUAAAACAUUCAAAUAAUCAAUGAUAUCAUAAACAUUCAAAUAUUAUGAUAUACAAUUAAAUUCGAGUCUUAAUCGAGCUUAUGAAAGCUCUAAAAUUGACUCGGAAAUAAAUAGGGAUCAAUUUGUAACAAUUUCAAUAGAUAAAAGUAAUUAUGCAAAACAGGGCUUACACGGCUUGUGACCAUGUGGAAUGGAGUCGCACGGUUGUGCAUCCAGGCUAUGUAACUCAUUAAAGUCGUGUGGAACUAAAUGCAAAGAUUCACCAAAAAUCACACCGCCGUGUGAUUGGGCCAUGUGACAAACUAAAAUCAUGUAAUACAUAUGCUUCCUAAUUUCUAAAGAGCGCACGAUCGUGUCACUAGCCCGUGUAUUAUACAUGAUCGUGUGCCAAACUAUGUGAUACAUAUGCUUCUAAAUUUCUAAAGAUUGUAAUUUGUCUUUACCAUAUCAAAGAUGUUAGAUUAUAAGUGAGACAAUCCAAGCGAAGAAGAUAGUAAGUGAAUUGGAAAAGUUAAACUUAAAUGUGUUUUCUUUUGUAUAGAAUAAAAAUCAUGAGCCACUUCAAUGAAACUAGCCAAAUAAGAUACAUAAAAAGCUUUUAUUAAGAGUGUUUGAGUUGUGUGACCCGAAUCCUAUCACUUACUAUAAAAAUAAAAUAGAGUGGCAAAAUAAAGAGAUUUGUAGGGGCGAAAUGUCAAAGGUUGGAACUCCUCUUGUAUCAUUCGUUUUUCAAUAUUAGCAAAUUUUUUCUCCUCUACUAGUGAUUUUUUUCCCUGAAAAUAUUUCCACAUUCUGCGUGUAUUCUUAUUUUUCCUUAUUUGCGAUCAUUUUAUUGUAAUUAUUGUAGAAGGCCCAAAUUGCCCAGCCCAUUAAUACCCAACCUACCCUAGCCCAAACCACCAACAGAAAAAAACAAGGAAGCAGCAAACCCUAGGUGCCUCCACUUGCACCGCCUUUCCUCCACCUGCUCCCAUCACCUCCUUGAAGACCUGCAAACAUGACGGAAGCAGCAACAGAAGCAGAAACGCAGCAAACAGUAACAAAACAACAAUAGGACUUUGCAUAAUCGGCUAUAAAGAGCCAUUCAUUUUCAAUGUAAAAAGGGGGGAGAACGAUUUGUAUUUUGAAAGGGGGGAUUUUGGAAAUAAAAAAACCAUUGUAUAAAACACAAAAAAGAGCAAUCGAAAAGGGGGACAUCAAGGUGUUCCUUCAUUCUGUUUUUUUGUUAUUUCCUUUGCAAGUUCAUUUCCGAAUAUAGUGCAUACAUAUAGAUAUUAAAAGAAAACACACACAAAAAAAAAAAAGAGAAAGGUUACCUUUUUGAGGUCGGGGAAGGGAACCUACCCGCGGUUUCGGCCAUCGGAGACCCUUUCAACGGCAUGGAUUUGGACCAAGGGACGCCUCUCGUCUCCUUUGUUCCCGAGCCAUGAGCCACGAUAGGUGGAGGCGCAUGGGACGCCGAUGAAACCCAUGAUCGGCCAAGGAGAGAAGCAAAAGGGACGAUUGAAUGAGGAGCCCUUUUUUUUGGUUCAGCCGAAUGAGAAGGGAAGGAAGUUUUGUUUUGUUUUGAUUUUUUUUUAAGUGAUUGAGUGUUUAGUUUAGGGUUUCUUAAUUUUGUUUUUGUAGAGAACAUGAAACGGUGCCGCAUAGGCCAAGACCAGUGUGUUUCGCCCUAAUGGCUUAUUUUCAGAUGUAGUCCCUCCGAUAUUUCGCCUUCCUUUAAUUCAAUCCUAUUCAUUUCUUUUAUUUUUUCUUGAUUUUGCCCCAUGUAUUUUGCCCUUGACUCAUCUGGAUCUGCAUCAAAGUGUGGCGUUUUGAGGGCUUGGGUUUAUUGCCCAAUCAGUCCCCUUCUUUUGCGUGUGCAUUCAAUUGGGAUCCUUAUGCG